rnacentral:rRNA from 1 species
CACGUAGGGCGCGAGCGUUGUCCGGAAUCAUUGGGCGUAAAGCGCACGUAGGCGGACUCUUAAGUCGGUGGUGAAAUCCUGGAGCUCAACUCCAGAACUGCCUUCGAUACUGAGAGUCUUGAGUCCGGGAGAGGUGAGUGGAACUGCGAGUGUAGAGGUGAAAUUCGUAGAUAUUCGCAAGAACACCAGUGGCGAAGGCGGCUCACUGGCCCGGUACUGACGCUGAGGUGCGAAAGCGUGGGGAGCAAACAGG